GGUAUUAGCCUCCCCUCCGCUCAUCCCCCCCACCUCCCAACACAAAGCUGGCUCUCGGCUGACAGUUUAUCAGAGAUAAAUGGAAACACCUGGGAGCCAGAUAAGGCCAACUGAGUGUGAUCAGCUGAGGAGCCCUUAGGGACGCAUGCCACUCUGUAUUUCUUUUUCCACACAAGGCAGGGUGGGAGCACGAUCUAGCCCGUGACCGAUGGCAAGGCUCACUUUCACAUUCAUCCUUUCCUUCAUUCAUUCCAAACAACCUCAAGAGGUCAGCCGGCCCAGCUUCCUGCCCGAGGUAGGUCAACACUGAAACCACCAGCAGGGCGGAUGAAACAGAUAAUUUGGAGCAUCUGCAGAGACGUGCCUGGGGCCGUGGGGGUGACCCUGCUGUUCCCUCCUUAAGGAAACACCAAAGCGAAGCCAGCCGCAGGGAAGAAAUCAUUCCGCACCCACACCGUGACAGAGAUCGGUGAAGAGGAGGCUCGAUUCCUCACGCGGGCCGGCCGUUCGCGUGGCGACUGCAGGACUGGGGGAGCGAUCUCGGCCCGACCCAGGAGUCCUCGAGCUCCCGCCGCCUCCCGGCCCAUCCCAGCCUUCUGGAUCAACAACCCCCUCUUUCAGUCAAUAGGAGCUUUGUGAGCUGAGCCGCAGAUGCCACAGGGCCUAGAAGGCGAAUAACUGUGGUUAUUCAACGUUCUGUCGCCCUGUGUGGGAUUCAGGAAAUCAAUGACGGUUGCCCCGGCAACCAGGACACAACUUCCGGCCGGGUGCACAGGCCUUGCUGUCGGCCGCACGCGGGGUUGCCCCCGACCCCCUCGCGCGGAGACAACGCGAUCUGGCCGCCUGCUCGCUGUUGGAAACCGAACGGCGGCCUCCUAAAGCCGCGCUUCCAGAUUUAAAGCUGUUUUCCAGCAACUGGUUGUAAAGGCUUAAAAAAAAAAAAAGGCGCUAACAUAAUCUCAGAUGCAUUUAAGUGUGGGGUGAUUCAGCAAGACGGACACAACUUCAGAAUCUGGAGACACGGAAAGGCAGAGCAGGACCUUCUUAGAAUGAGAGUGGUCAGGAUCAGCCCUGCCUCCUGCCUGCUCUCUCCGAUGUCCCUAAAGAGAGACCAGUGCCACCGUGCCUGGGAGCAGGGAUUCUGCUCACAGCAAAAGCCUGUGGCCCAUGGCAGUAAGGAGGGAGCAGGGAUUCACCGUGCCUGGGACAGGAGGCUGACCAGUCUACUGUCUAAGUGGCUAUGGGAGCUGAGGCAAGGUUACCUCUUCCGUGCCUCAACCUCCUCAUCCGUGAAAUGGGGAUGUGGCGUUGGUAGACUAUAGGGUUAUUCAGUUCAUUUGGCUUUGGAGCAGAGAGUAUUACUGGACCUCUUGGCAGGAUUUACUGAGGACAGCACUUAGCUAUUUUUCAUGACCCACUUGUAAUUCUGUGCCUGAGCCAAGAUCAGAAUUGGGACAUGUUACAUACGCACUACCUUGAGUUAGUUCUUUUUUUUAUUUUCUUAGCAAACCGUAUUUCUUUUUCCACUCCUCGUUCCUCCAUGAACUCUAAUUAAGCCCUCGCCCAUCUAGAGAGCAAGACAAGGGUGAGGUUUUGUUUUUGAAAAGACUCACAAGCUUGUAUGGCAGCAGGUUUUUCCACAGUUUGACAGCUUCAGUUCAGCUCGGUGUGGCUGAUUUAUAAGACACUGAGCUCAUUGGCUUUAUCCUCUGUUCUCCCCCAGCCAUUUUUCAAUCGAGUUGCCCUGGCUGGAAACAUCUGAGAAAGAAAUUUACUGAGAGAUGCACAAACAGCCUAUUCACAUUUCAUAAUUUUCGGGAACCUUCCCUGGAGGACCCGGGGGAGCCUAUUAAUGCAAGCACAACCCCUGGCCCGUGUCCCUGCACCCCGUCACCCCACUCACUGGUCCCAGACAAUAGCCGGGUCCCCUCCAAACUCGGCUUCUUUGACUCUAAUGCUAAGUGAGGGAGCUAACCCAGUACAUGCUGUUCUCAAAUCUUGCCUGGACUUGCCUGUGACAGCGGGAUUAGACAGGGAAAUAUGGACAGAAGGCACCCAAUGGAUUUAGUGAUUUAAUUGUCUGAGCACUUAAAAAUUCAGGAUUAAUGCCACUUUAAAUGUGGCUGCUCCUUUCUCAUUAACAGGAAUCUGUUUAAAAUAAUUCACUUGAAUAAAGACCUAAUGGAAGCUCAGAAGAAUGUCUUUGCUUGACUCAUCCUCCUCCUCUUUCCCCUCUCUAGCCAGGCCCUGUCCCCUGACCGAUUUGGUCUUAACGUACAGAACCUCUAAUCUGAAAUCGGCUUUUCCCACUCAGCUCUCCAUUUGUGCUUGAAGUAAUUUGCAAUGGCCACUAUCUGCAUCUUGUUCUCAGACGUGUCUUGGUCAAUUAGUGCAAUGUCACAGCCGUGUGUGUUAGCCUAACUCCAGCUGAGAGCUGUUAAUAAUAAACUUACCCACAGGACAAUCAUGCCAUAUGGUUAAUGGUCAAUCAAGACUAAAAUUUGCAUUAGGAAAAAAAAAAUGCUCCUGUCAACAGUGAGGGGGUGUAGGUCAUUGGUUAAGGAUGCUGGCUCGUUAAGAACCAAGUUCAGGUUAAUAGUGUACGCCCGGCAUCCUUACCUUGCUCCGACCCUAUGAUAUUUGUCUUGAGACACAGAGGCACGAUAACUAAAAUGACACAGCUGGAAUCCGAAGACAAGUGGACAAAACAUGGUGAGAUGCAUCAUACAGGUUGGGGAAUAGGGAUUUGUUGAGAAGAAACAUAGCUCAGAUUCUUUCCUAGGGAAAGGAGACAGAUCUGCAUUUUGGUCAUGGGAAAUGAUUUGUAUGCUACAAGAAAAAUUCUAUUUAAUGGGGGUUUUGAGGCAAAUAAAAACAAACUGAUCUGUGGCCAACGAGUAACGGAGGAGCAAUAACCCACUUGGGUGAUUCCAAUUAACUUCCUCCACUGGACUGAAGGGCUUAAGGUUAUUUGGGUUUGGUUUUGAGUUUGGGGUUUGGGGCAGGCUGUGGGGAGGGGAUGUGGAGGCCCUUGGCACAUAGCUUAACCUUGACUUGUGUUCCUAGCAAUAGCCAAAGCGAAUGGCAAUGCCAAUAAAGUAGAUACUUGUUUCAAUGGCAAAAACUAGUGCUUAUAUAUCUCUAUGUCAGUUUCACCAGAAAUGGCGAAGAACCAGGGGAGAAUGGUG